rnacentral:tRNA from 1 species
GCCGGGAUGGCGGAACUGGUAGACGCAACGGACUUAAAAUCCGUCGGUAGCAAUACUGUGAGGGUUCGAGUCCCUCUCCCGGCA